CAGCCGCCGCGGUAAUACGGAGGGUGCAAGCGUUGUUCGGAAUUACUGGGCGUAAAGGGCGUGUAGGCGGUUGUGUAUGUCAGAUGUGAAAUCCUCCGGCUUAACUGGAAAACUGCAUCUGAAACUGCAUGGCUAGAGUACAGGAGAAGGAAACGGAAUUCCCGGUGUAGAGGUGAAAUUCGUAGAUAUCGGGAGGAACACCAGUGGCGAAGGCGGUUUCCUGGCCUGAUACUGACGCUGAGGCGCGAAAGCAUGGGGAGCAAACAGGAUUAGAUACCCUGGUAGUCCAUGCCAUAAACGGUGAACACUAGGUGUGGGAGGUGUAAUACCUUCUGUGCCGAAGCUAACGCGUUAAGUGUUCCGCCUGGGAAGUACGGCCGCAAGGUUGAAACUUAAAGGAAUUGGAGGG
rnacentral:rRNA from 1 species